rnacentral:rRNA from 1 species
UACGUAGGGUGCAAGCGUUGUCCGGAAUUAUUGGGCGUAAAGCGUGCGCAGGCGGCUAUGCAAGACAGAUGUGAAAUCCCCGGGCUCAACCUGGGAACUGCAUUUGUGACUGCAUGGCUAGAGUACGGCAGAGGGGGAUGGAAUUCCGCGUGUAGCAGUGAAAUGCGUAGAUAUGCGGAGGAACACCGAUGGCGAAGGCAAUCCCCUGGGCCUGUACUGACGCUCAUGCACGAAAGCGUGGGGAGCAAACAGG